CGGAGAGGACGGUUCUCUGUGUGAGUAUGGUACCCAGGUAGAGACGGUUAUUCUACACAGGUAAAAAAUCCACAGGUGUGUUGAUGAGAAACGGAUUGUACCUUGAAGAGGAGGGGGACGCGAAAAGUUGAAAUAUGAUCUCCGACAGUUUAUUCGUGACAGGUAUGUUUCAUUUAAUAUCGCCACACUUUAAAUAUGACACUGGGUCUCAAGUUCUUGUG